AAGCGAGGCUGAAGGCGGUUCCCCCCCACCCCUUCAGCACUUCCGGUGAGUCACCUUCAGAAGACCCGCGGCCCGGCCCUCCCCUGGAGUGUCGGGCCGCCUUCUUUU
rfam:Myxococcus stipitatus DSM 14675, complete genome.